GCCUGACGUUUAUUUCCAAGCGGUUCCCGUUCAACCUGAAAUCAUCCCGUCACUUAGACAAUUAAGUGGUAAAAAACGAGAAGCUUAUGAUAGUUUGCCGAUGGUACUAGAUCGUGGUAGACGAGAGAAGCGCGAAAUCUUUUUCCUGGGAAGGUCGACAAAAAGUUUUACCCCUAGUCGUACCGUAUCUCGUGAAACAAAUACCUCUUCUUUCGUACCGUUUCCAUCUCGACCCAUCUCACCGCGCGGGGCUCAUACUUUUUUCGAAGUUAAACGAAACCUUAUGCGCUGCUUCGGUUCUUUCCGACACUUUUAUCGCGUUCAUUGAUAAUCCCGUUUCUCGUCCCUUUCUAUCCUUUAUAUGCGCCAUACUUUUUUCGUUGCCAC
rnacentral:misc_RNA from 1 species